rnacentral:rRNA from 1 species
GCAUGUGCUGUGAGCUCGAUGAGUAGGGCGGGACACGUGGUAUCCUGUCUGAAUAUGGGGGGACCAUCCUCCAAGGCUAAAUACUCCUGACUGACCGAUAGUGAACCAGUACCGUGAGGGAAAGGCGAAAAGAACCCCGGCGAGGGGAGUGAAAAAGAACCUGAAACCGUGUACGUACAAGCAGUGGGAGCACAGGUUUACCUGUGUGACUGCGUACCUUUUGUAUAAUGGGUCAGCGACUUAUAUUCUGUAGCAAGGUUAACCGUAUAGGGGAGCCGUAGGGAAACCGAGUCUUAACCGGGCGUUAAGUUGCAGGGUAUAGACCCGAAACCCGGUGAUCUAGCCAUGGGCAGGUUGAAGGUUGGGUAACACUAACUGGAGGACCGAACCGACUAAUGUUGAAAAAUUAGCGGAUGACCUGUGGCUGGGGGUGAAAGGCCAAUCAAACCGGGAGAUAGCUGGUUCUCCCCGAAAGCUAUUUAGGUAGCGCCUCGUGAAUUCAUCUCCGGGGGUAGAGCACUGUUUCGGCUAGGGGGCCAUCCCGGCUUACCAACCCGAUGCAAACUGCGAAUACCGGAGAAUGUUAUCACGGGAGACACACGGCGGGUGCUAACGUCCGUCGUGAAGAGGGAAACAACCCAGACCGCCAGCUAAGGUCCCAAAGUCAUGGUUAAGUGGGAAACGAUGUGGGAAGGCCCAGACAGCCAGGAUGUUGGCUUAGAAGCAGCCAUCAUUUAAAGAAAGCGUAAUAGCUCACUGGUCGAGUCGGCCUGCGCGGAAGAUGUAACGGGGCUAAACCAUGCACCGAAGCUGCGGCAGCGACGCUGAUGCGUUGUUGGGUAGGGGAGCGUUCUGUAAGCCUGUGAAGGUGGCCUGUGAGGGUUGCUGGAGGUAUCAGAAGUGCGAAUGCUGACAUAAGUAACGAUAAAGCGGGUGAAAAGCCCGCUCGCCGGAAGACCAAGGGUUCCUGUCCAACGUUAAUCGGGGCAGGGUGAGUCGACCCCUAAGGCGAGGCCGAAAGGCGUAGUCGAUGGGAAACGGGUUAAUAUUCCCGUACUUGGUGUUACUGCGAAGGGGGGACGGAGAAGGCUAUGUUGGCCGGGCGACGGUUGUCCCGGUUUAAGCGUGUAGGUGUGUGUUCCAGGUAAAUCCGGUUCACUUUAACACUGAGGCGUGAUGACGAGGCACUACGGUGCUGAAGCAACAAAUGCCCUGCUUCCAGGAAAAGCCUCUAAGCAUCAGGUAACAUCAAAUCGUACCCCAAACCGACACAGGUGGUCAGGUAGAGAAUACCAAGGCGCUUGAGAGAACUCGGGUGAAGGAACUAGGCAAAAUGGUGCCGUAACUUCGGGAGAAGGCACGCUGACACGUAGGUGAAGUGAUUUACUCAUGGAGCUGAAGUCAGUCGAAGAUACCAGCUGGCUGCAACUGUUUAUUAAAAACACAGCACUGUGCAAACACGAAAGUGGACGUAUACGGUGUGACGCCUGCCCGGUGCCGGAAGGUUAAUUGAUGGGGUCAGCGCAAGCGAAGCUCCUGAUCGAAGCCCCGGUAAACGGCGGCCGUAACUAUAACGGUCCUAAGGUAGCGAAAUUCCUUGUCGGGUAAGUUCCGACCUGCACGAAUGGCGUAAUGAUGGCCAGGCUGUCUCCACCCGAGACUCAGUGAAAUUGAACUCGCUGUGAAGAUGCAGUGUACCCGCGGCAAGACGGAAAGACCCCGUGAACCUUUACUAUAGCUUGACACUGAACAUUGAGCCUUGAUGUGUAGGAUAGGUGGGAGGCUUUGAAGCGUGGACGCCAGUCUGCAUGGAGCCGGCCUUGAAAUACCACCCUUUAAUGUUUGAUGUUCUAACGUGGACCCGUGAUCCGGGUUGCGGACAGUGUCUGGUGGGUAGUUUGACUGGGGCGGUCUCCUCCUAAAGAGUAACGGAGGAGCACGAAGGUUGGCUAAUCCUGGUCGGACAUCAGGAGGUUAGUGCAAUGGCAUAAGCCAGCUUGACUGCGAGCGUGACGGCGCGAGCAGGUGCGAAAGCAGGUCAUAGUGAUCCGGUGGUUCUGAAUGGAAGGGCCAUCGCUCAACGGAUAAAAGGUACUCCGGGGAUAACAGGCUGAUACCGCCCAAGAGUUCAUAUCGACGGCGGUGUUUGGCACCUCGAUGUCGGCUCAUCACAUCCUGGGGCUGAAGUAGGUCCCAAGGGUAUGGCUGUUCGCCAUUUAAAGUGGUACGCGAGCUGGGUUUAGAACGUCGUGAGACAGUUCGGUCCCUAUCUGCCGUGGGCGCUGGAGAACUGAGGGGGGCUGCUCCUAGUACGAGAGGACCGGAGUGGACGCAUCACUGGUGUUCGGGUUGUCAUGCCAAUGGCACUGCCCGGUAGCUAAAUGCGGAAGAGAUAAGUGCUGAAAGCAUCUAAGCACGAAACUUGCCCCGAGAUGAGUUCUCCCUGAGACUUAGAGUCUCCUGAAGGAACGUUGAAGACGACGACGUUGAUAGGCCGGGUGUGUAAGCGCAGCGAUGCGUUGAGCUAACCGGUACUAAUGAACCGUGAGGCUUAACCUUACAACGCCGAAG